rnacentral:rRNA from 1 species
CCUACGGGUGGCAGCAGUGGGGAAUAUUGGACAAUGGGGGCAACCCUGAUCCAGCCAUGCCGCGCGUGUGAAGAAGGCCCUCGGGUUGUAAAGCACUUUCAGUGAGGAAGAACGCCUGGUGGUUAAUACCCAUCAGGAAAGACAUCACUCACAGAAGAAGCACCGGCUAACUCCGUGCCAGCAGCCGCGGUAAUACGGAGGGUGCGAGCGUUAAUCGGAAUUACUGGGCGUAAAGCGCGCGUAGGUGGCUUGAUAAGCCGGUUGUGAAAGCCCCGGGCUCAACCUGGGAACGGCAUCCGGAACUGUCAAGCUAGAGUGCAGGAGAGGAAGGUAGAAUUCCCGGUGUAGCGGUGAAAUGCGUAGAGAUCGGGAGGAAUACCAGUGGCGAAGGCGGCCUUCUGGACUGACACUGACACUGAGGUGCGAAAGCGUGGGUAGCAAACAGGAUUAGAUACCCGUGUAGUC